rnacentral:rRNA from 1 species
GAUGAACGCUAGCUACAGGCUUAACACAUGCAAGUCGAGGGACCGGCGCACGGGUGAGUAACACGUAACCAACCUGCCCUUUACCCGGGGAUAGCCUUUCGAAAGAAAGACUAAUACCCGAUACAAAGGAUGGGGAUGCAUUCCAUUAGGUUGUUGGUAAGGUAACGGCUCACCAAGCAUUCGAUGGAUAGGGGUUCUGAGAGUAAGGUCCCCCACAUUGGAACUUGGACACGGUCCAAACUCCUACGGGAAGCAGCAGUUAGGAAUAUUGGUCAAUAGGCGGUAGCCUGAAACUGCCAAGUAACGUGAAGAAUGAAGGCUUAUGGGUCGUAGACUUCUUUUGUAUAAGAAUAUGUAUUAUAUGAAUAAGGAUCGGCUAACUCCGUGCCAGCAGCCGCGGUAAUUC